rnacentral:lncRNA from 1 species
UGAUCUACCUUUAUUACACUAACCUAUUUCACAAUGUUCCAUUAAGUUUUGUGUGAUUGAAGUUUUCAAGUUUUGGGUGAGAUACCGAUAUGAGGAGAAUAAGAAGAAGCAAUAACCUAAGCUUGGGGAUGCCCAAGGCACCACCAAGGUUAUAUCCAAGUAAGACUCAAGCGUCUAAGCUUGGGGAUGCCCCGGAAGGCAUCCUCUCUUUCGUCUUCAACACUAUCGAUAUAUCUUACUUCGAGAUAUAUUUUUAUUCAUCAC